rnacentral:rRNA from 1 species
GUGGGGAAUCUUCCGCAAUGGACGAAAGUCUGACGGAGCAACGCCGCGUGAGUGAAGAAGGUUUUCGGAUCGUAAAGCUCUUUCGUUAGGGACGAACGUGCUCUUUGUGAAUAAUGAGGAGUAAUGACGGUACCUAAAUAAGAAGUCACGGCUAACUACGUGCCAGCAGCCGCGGUAAUACGUAGGUGGCAAGCGUUGUCCGGAAUUAUUGGGCGUAAAGCGCGCGCAGGCGGGAUAUCAAGUCUGUCUUAAAAGUGCGAGGCUCAACCUCGUGAGGGGACAGAAACUGGUAUUCUUGAGUGUCGGAGAGGAAAGUGGAAUUCCAAGUGUAGCGGUGAAAUGCGUAGAGAUUUGGAAGAACACCAGUGGCGAAGGCGACUUUCUGGACGAUGUCUGACGCUGAGGCGCGAAAGCUAGGGGAGCGAACGGGAUUAGAUACCCCGGUAGUCC